rnacentral:rRNA from 1 species
UACGGAGGGUGCAAGCGUUGUUCGGAAUCACUGGGCGUAAAGGGCGUGUAGGCGGUCCGCUAAGUCUGAUGUGAAAGCCCGGGGCUCACCCCCGGAGGGGCAUUGGAAACUGGCGGACUCGAGUCUCGGAGAGGAAGGUGGAAUUCCUGGUGUAGCGGUGAAAUGCGUAGAUAUCAGGAGGAAUACCGGUGGCGAAGGCAGCUCUCUGGGACGGUACUGACGCUGAGACGCGAAAGCGUGGGGAGCGAACAGG